rnacentral:rRNA from 1 species
UAAUUUAUAUUUUAAUUAAGAUUAUUAGAAAUUUAUUUUUUAGUUAUGAUUGGGGUGAUUUUUAAAGAUUAUUAAUCUUUAAAAUUUUUUAAUAAAAAAGUUCCAUUAGUAGUGAUUUUUUGAUAAAAAUACUCUAGGGAUAACAGCGUUAUUAUUUUGGAUAGUUCAUAUAGAUAAAAUAGUUUGCGACCUCGAUGUUGGAUUAGGAAACUUUUAUGAUGAAGAAGUUAUAAGGGAGAAGUUUGCUCAACUUUUAAAGACCUACUUGAUCUGAGUUCAGACCGGG